ACCCGAUAUGCUCACAGGAUCGGGAGAUUGAGUGAGGAAAGGCUUCGGUGCUUGAGGAGGGAUCUGCGGCCCAUCAGCUAGUUGGUGAGGUAACGGCUCACCAAGGCGAAGACGGGUAGGGGGUGUGAGAGCAUGGCCCCCCACAAUGGGACUGAGACACGGNCCAUACUCCUACGGGAGGCAGCAGCGGGGAAUAUUGCGCAAUGGACGGAAGUCAGACGCAGCGACGCCGCGUGGGUGAGGAAGGCCUUCGGGUUGUAAAGCCCUUUUCAGGGGAGCGAGAAAGGACGGUACCCUUGGAAUAAGCGUCGGCUAACUACGUGCCAGCAGCCGCGGUAAGACGUAGGACGCAAGCGUUAUCCGGAUUUACUGGGCGUAAAGCGCCUGUAGGCGGUCAAGUAAGUCGGAUGUGAAAGCCCCGUGCUCAACGCGGGGAAGCCAUUCGAUACUGCGUGACUAGAGAACGGCAGAGGGAAACGGAAUUUCUGGUGUAGCGGUAAAAUGCGCAGAGAUCAGAAAGAACACCGAUGGCGAAGGCAGUUUCCUAGGCCGCAUCUGACGCUGAGAGGCGAAAGCCAGGGGAGCAAACAGGAUUAGAGACCCUGGUAGUCCUAGCUGUAAACGAUGGAUGCUAGGUGUGGGCCGGAAAGGUCCGUGCCGUAGUUAACGCGAUAAGCAUCCCGCCUGGGGAGUACGGUCGCAAAGGCUAAAACUCAAACGAAUUGACGGGGACCCGCACAAGCAGCGGAGCGUGUGGUUUAAUUCGAUGCUACACGCAGAACCUUACCUGGGCUUGACAUGUAGGUGGUAGUGAAGUGAAAGCGGAGCGACCCUUCGGGGAGCCUACACAGGUGCUGCAUGGCUGUCGUCAGCUCGUGCCGUGAGGUGUCGGGUUAAGUCCCGUAACGAGCGCAACCCUUGUCCUUAGUUACA
rnacentral:rRNA from 1 species